rnacentral:tRNA from 1 species
GAAAAUUUAGUUAAUUCAUAAUUCUAGCCUGUCAUGCUAAAGUAACUUUCUAAGUAAUUUUCU